GACCACGCUGAUGUGUCGACAUUGAAAAUGUAGUCUCCGAUGUCGGCAGUAUGCGACAAGUUGUAUUCAAGAUUAGCUCGAGGACUACCGAGUCAAGUUCAGUGGAUACUAGCCUGACGCAUGGCUGUGACAGAAGAAUUGUAGCCCUAAAGCUGGACCUGUGGCUAGAUUUGGUUCUUGUACCCGCUGUUUAGGAUGAAAGUCUAGCAGAUG